GAGAGUUUGAUCCUGGCUCAGGACGAACGCUGGCGGCGUGCCUAAUACAUGCAAGUAGAACGCUGAAGAGAGGAGCUUGCUCUUCUUGGAUGAGUUGCGAACGGGUGAGUAACGCGUAGGUAACCUGCCUUGUAGCGGGGGAUAACUAUUGGAAACGAUAGCUAAUACCGCAUAACAAUGGAUGACACAUGCCAUUUAUUUGAAAGGGGCAAUUGCUCCACUACAAGAUGGACCUGCGUUGUAUUAGCUAGUAGGUGAGGUAAUGGCUCACCUAGGCGACGAUACAUAGCCGACCUGAGAGGGUGAUCGGCCACACUGGGACUGAGACACGGCCCAGACUCCUACGGGAGGCAGCAGUAGGGAAUCUUCGGCAAUGGGGGCAACCCUGACCGAGCAACGCCGCGUGAGUGAAGAAGGUUUUCGGAUCGUAAAGCUCUGUUGUAAGUCAAGAACGGGUGUGAGAGUGGAAAGUUCACACUGUGACGGUAGCUUACCAGAAAGGGACGGCUAACUACGUGCCAGCAGCCGCGGUAAUACGUAGGUCCCGAGCGUUGUCCGGAUUUAUUGGGCGUAAAGCGAGCGCAGGCGGUUUGAUAAGUCUGAAGUUAAAGGCUGUGGCUCAACCAUAGUUCGCUUUGGAAACUGUCAAACUUGAGUGCAGAAGGGGAGAGUGGAAUUCCAUGUGUAGCAGUGAAAUGCGUAGAUAUAUGGAGGAACACCGGUGGCGAAAGCGGCUCUCUGGUCUGUAACUGACGCUGAGGCUCGAAAGCGUGGGGAGCGAACAGGAAUUANAUACCCUGGUAGUCCNCGCCGUAAACGAUGAGUGCUAGGUGUUGGAAUCCNUUCCNGGGAUUCAGUGCCNAAANCUAACGCAUU
rnacentral:rRNA from 1 species